GCGCGUGGCUCAGUGAUUAGAGCAUUCGGCUCACGAUCGCAAGGUCCUGAGUUCAAUUCCCAGAGGCGCG
rnacentral:tRNA from 1 species